UGCCAUAAGAUGAGGUUGCGCCCGGGGCGGAACUCAGUGAGGGGCGGGGCCAGACGCAGCCGAGUAUCUUGAGGAGAAGGACUUUAAAGCGUUCAGGGAUUUUAGCUGCCGCUGUGGAGUUCCGCCGCUGUUCUUCCGCUGGAGGGCGCAGUAGUUCCUUAAGAGGGAAUGGUGCGGCGAAUAGCUGUGAGUUCAAAGUCCUGACUACAGGGUCUCCCUCUGAUGCUGAGCGGAAGCUGGACUGUACUGCCGCCAUCUCGGCUCACUGCAACCUCCCUGCCUGAUUCUCCUGCCUCAGCCUGCCCAGUGAUUGGGAUUGCAGGCGCGCGCCGCCACGCCUGACUGGUUUUCGUAUUUUUUUGGUGGAGACGGGGUUUCACUGUGUUGGCCGGGCUGGUCUCCAGCUCCUAACUGCGAGUGAUCUGCCAGCCUCAGCCUCCCGAGAUGCCAGGAUUGCCGACGGAGUCUCGUUCACUCAGUGCUCAAUGUUGCCCAGGCUGGAGUGCAGUGGCAUGAUCUCGGCUUGCUACAACCUCCACCUCCCAGCCGCCUGCCUUGGCCUCCCAAAGUGCCGAGAUUGCAGCCUCUGCCCGGCCGCCACCCCGUCUGGGAAGUGAGGAUCGUCUCUGCCUGGCCGCCCAUCAUCUGGGAUGUGAGGAGCCCCUCUGCCUGGCUGCCCAGUCUGGGAAGUGAGGAGCGCCUCUUCCCGGCCGCCAUCCCGUCUAGGAAGUGAGGAGCAUCUCUGCCCGGCCGCCCAUCGUCUGAGAUGUGGGGAGCGCCUCUGCCCCGCCGCCCCUUCUGGGAUGUGAGGAGCGCCUCUGCCCGGCCGUGACCCUGUCUGGGAGGUGAGGAGCAUCUCUGCCCGGCCGCCCCGUCUGAGAAGUGAGGAGCCCCUCCGCCCUGCAGCCGCCCCGUCUGAGAAGUGAGGAGUGUCUCCGCCCGGCAGCCACCCCGUCCAGGAGGGAGGUGGGGGGCAGCCCCUGCCCGGCCAGCCGCCCCAUCCGGGAGGGAGGUGGGGGGCAGCCCCCACCCGGCCGCCGCCCCCUCCGGGAGGUGUACCCAACAGCUCAUUGAGAACGGGCUAUGAUGACGAUGGCGGUUUUGUCAAAUAGAAAAGGGGGAAAUGUGGGGAAAAGAUAGAGAAAUCAGAUUGUUGCUGUGUCUGUGUAGAAAGAAGUAGACAUAGGAGAUUCCAUUUUGUUCUGUACUAAGAAAAAUUCUUCUGCCUUGG